CUUACACAGAGUCCUAGCUCAAAGCAAACGCUCCAAGAAUAUCUUGUUUAUUGUUUAUACAUAAGCUUACUUCAAACUGUUACUCCUGGGGUGGAGAGCAGCUGGAGUAGGCAGGGCACAUAUUUGUUUUCUUUCUUUCCAAUAAGAUUAUCUGAAAGACAUUUCUCCCCUUCUCCUCCUUUGCUUUUUUCACAUAAAGUAGAACAGAGCACAGCUGUCGGAACAGAAAAGAAGCCUUUUAUAUUGGAGACUUAUAUGUCAGUUGCUGGUAUGCAAGCACCAGGUCAGCUCAGCAAGUGUCAGUAGCGCUGGGAGUCAGUACAGAUGAGUGACCGGUGUUUUAACAUUAUGUCAAUUUGACCUGCUGUGAGCACAGACAUAUGCUAUUGAAAUUACAACACCGACAGACCAGCUCAAGUAGGGCUCUCCACACGUAAGAGCAACUGGAACUGAGUUACAAUCAGAAAAAAAACAGGAAUUUUCUGCUUGCUAGAACAGCUGUUCCGGGAUUCAACUUUCUGUAUCUACACUUCUCAGCUAUCCUUUGGAUGAGUAUUUCCUUUCCCCUUCUCCAUCCUAAUUUACUUUUCUUUUAGCACAGCUUUCAGUGAGAGACACUUGCCUUUUUCCUCUUCAUAAUAAAAAUGAUGUCCAAAAUAUCUGUUUAAAAACU
rnacentral:lncRNA from 1 species